GCUGUACCUGCAGCAUGUGGAAGUCCCCAGGCUAGGGGUCAAAUCAGAGCUAUAGCUGCCAGCCUACACCAGCCUAUCCCCAGCAAUGUGGGAUCCAAGCUGAGUCUGUGACCUACACUCCAGCUUAUGGCAACAUCGGAUCCUUAACCCACUGAGCGAGGCCAGGGAUCAAACCUGCAUCCUCAUGGAUACUAGUCAGAUUCGUUUCCAAUGAGCCACAAUGGGAACUCCCUGGGGACUGGUUUUUUUUUUUUUUUUCACUCAGCAUCAUUCUCUAGAUUCCUUUAGGUUGUUGCAGGUGUCAAUAGUUCAUUCCUUUUAUUGCUUAAUAAUAAUUCCACAGUGUGGAUACACAUCGCCUGCCUAACUCUUCACUCAGCAAAGGACAUCUGGGUUGUUUCUAGUUUGGGGCUAUUACGAAUAAAGCUGUUAUAAAUAUAUAUUUAUAUAUAUGUAUGUAUGUGCAGGUUUCUGUGCACACAUAAAUUCAUGUCAUUAGAGAUAAAUGCUCAAGAAUGUAAAUGAUAGGUCCUAUGGUAGUUGCAACAUGCUUUUUUUUUUCUUCCCCAGAAACUGCCAAGCAGUUUUUCAGAGUGGCUGUGCUAUUUCACAUUCCCACUGGCAAUGUCAGAAUAAUCCCGUUUUUCCACACUCUUGAAGCAUUUGGUCUUGCCACUUUUAAAAUAAAUCUAGCUAUUCUGAUAGGUAUGCAGUGAUAUCUCAUGGUUUGAAUUUAUAGUUCCCUAAUGGCUAAUGAUGUUAAACAACUUUUCUUGUGUUUAUAUGCCUUCUGUAUAUAUUGUAUAUAAAAAGCUGACUCAAGAUGGAUCAUGGACCUAAAUGUAAAAUGCACAAUGAAAUUUUGGAAAAGAAACAAAAGAAAUGAGGAUCAAGGCCUAGGCAAAGAAUUCUUUGACUGGACACCAAAAGCUCAGUCUAUAAAAGGAAAAAUUGAAAAUUGGAUUUUAUCAAAAUUAAAAACUUCUACUCUGUAGAAGACCUUGGUAAGAGGAUGAAAAGAUAAGCUACAGAGUAGGAGAAAAUACUUGCCAAUGACAUCUCUAACAAAGGACUAGUAUCUAAAAUGUAUAAAGAGGAGUUCCCGUCGUGGCGCAGUGGUUAAUGAAUCCGACUGGGAACCAUGAGGUUGCGGGUUCGAUCCCUGCCCUUGCUCAGUGGGUUAACGAUCCGGUGUUGCCGUGAGCUGUGGUGUAGGUUGCAGACGCGGCUCGGAUCCUGCGUUGCUGUGGCUCUGGCAUAGGCUGGUGGCUGCAGCUCCGAUUCGACCCCUAGCCUGGGAACCUCCAUAUGCCGCAGGAGCGGCCCAAGAAAUGCCAAAAAGACAAACAAACAAAANNNNNNNNNNNNNNNNNNNNNNNNNNNNNNNNNNNNNNNNNNNNNAAAAAAAAAAAAAUUAUAUAUAUAUAUAUAUAUAUAUAUAUAUAUUUAAAAUUCAGUUAGGGGAGUUCCCGUCAUGGCCCAGUGGUUAAUGAAUCCGGCUAGGAACCAUGAGGUUGCAGGUUCGAUCCCUGGCCUUGCUCAGUGGGUUAAGGAUCUGGCAUUGCUGUGAACUGUGGUGUAGGUCGCAGACGCAGCUCCGAUCCCGAGUUGCUAUGGCUGUGGUGUAGGCCAGAGGCUACAGCUCCGAUUGGACUCCUAGCCUGGGAACCUCCAUGUGCCAGGGGAGUGGCUCUAGAAAAGAGAAAAACAAACAAACAAAUAAAAUAAAAUAAAAUUCAGUUAGGACAUUGGCAAAAGGCAUGAAUAAAUAUUUCACCAAAAAAUAUAUAUAGAUGACAUAAAAAUGCAAGAAAAGUUGUUUAUCAUUUCUUUCUUUUAGAACAUAUAUCUGCUUUAGAACGAAAAAGGCAGUCAACAUUUUAAUGCUAAGUGGUAUCUUGGAAGAAUUAGGACUUGGUUGAAAGGAAAUAAAGGUAGCAUAUGGUGAUAUGUGAGUAGCUUUCAACUGAAUAUAGGGACAAAAUCCACUUCAAAAAGGAAUAUAGGGAGUUUCCGUUGUGGCUCAGCAGUAAUGAACCCAACUAGUAUCCAUGAGGCUGUGGGUUCAGUCCCUGGCCUUGCUCAGUGGGUUAAGGAUCUGGCGUGGCCGUGAGCUGUGUAGGUUGCAGGCGUGGCUCAGAUCCUGCGUUGCAGUGACUGUGGCGUAGGCUGGCAGCUGCAGUUCCAAUUUGACCCCUAGCUUGGGAACCUUCAUAUGCCUCAGGUGUGGUCCUAAAAAAAAGCAAAAAUAAACCCAAAAAACAAAAAAAAGAAAUAUGGUUUCAGUCCUUUUGUAAUUCAUAAUCCCACUCUAAUUCUUAUUUUUCUUGCAGCAUUUGUGCUUCCCGAUUCCACUUCUAAUUCCCCACCCCUCAGGAAAAAAAAAAAAUCACAAAUGAGGCUACUUUUUUAAAGGUAGUUUUUGUGUGGUUAAAGCUAACCAGGUAAACAGAGCCUGUUAGUCACAUUACAGGACUGAGAGCCAAGGAACAUUCUUUGAGCUUUUAAUUUAUAUCUUUCUAGUACCUGAAGUUAUGAUCAUCAGUAUCUAUUUUUAAGGAAAUAAUAACUUUCUCCUUCACCUCAUAACAGAUUUACAUAAACAUUAAAACAAAAGACAGAUACUCUUUUAAGUAGCAAUGUAGAGAAUUAAGUCCAGAGGAGAAGGAAAAACAAGGAUGUAAAUAAAUCAUGAGAUGGUAUCAGAUUCGCCUCCUACUUCUUGGCAGAUAGAGGAGAAGAAAGGAAAACAGAAUUUGCUUGAUGCCUCUUUUAUCUGAGGUUUCAAAAAGCGUGACUUCUGUAGGAGAACCACCAUGGUAGCUUAGUUUUUAAAUAAAACAUAAAUAAAGCUUCUGUCAUAUAAGUGAUUGUUGGUGUUGGGUCUCUCUUACUGUAAUUGACAGGACAGCCCCUAUCACCCUGAAAUGCCAUCUUUCACUAAAUUAAAAGUGGUUCAAAGUCUAGGAACCAUUCUAUCAUUUUUAAAAAUCUUCAUUGUCUAGAACAGUGCUGGGUAUUUAAUAAAUCUUUCUGGUGUGAUCUCAGAGAACUUUGUUGGGUGCUUUUAAAACAUUUAGUCCUGAGCCAGUUAUCCAACUCUAUAGUAGUAUUUUUGCUUGCACCAAAUUGCACCUGUUUUUUUCUUAUGUAACCUUCCAAUAAUGAUAGCUGAGGGUAUAACAUUAAAAUUCAAACUUAAAUUUCUACAGACAGUUCAAGGAAAUUGCUGCAAUUAUGGAAACUGUGUGAAAGCUAAUUACUUGGUUGAUGAAUUGCUACCAUUCUAAAAUCAUGGACUUCACUUUCUGCAACCACACUGCCUAAGGAUCAAAUGAUAUUUAUUGAAUGAAAGUUACACUUUUGGUUUUCCAUUUUUUUAAAUAAUCAAAAUCAGACAAACAGGAAUUACAAAGUUGUGAUUGAUGCACAACUUUGUGAAUGUACCAAGAGCCACUGAAACCGAACACUUUAAAGGGUAAACUUUGUGGUAUGUGAAUUAUAUUUUUAAAUCAUACAGUGGAAUGAUAUUAAAAGCAACACAAAUUUAUGUAUUAGGCCAAUAGUUUUAAAAAUUACAGGUAAUGUUACCCUUUAUAAAUAAAACCUUAUAUAGAGUCCUUUAUAUAUAGUCUUAUAAAGUAUCUAUAAAUGACAAAAGUAGUGUUUGAUUAGGGUAACAUUACAAACUCAAUUUUAUAACAUUCACUUGUCAUAAACGCAAUCAGUGAGAAGAGUGAGGCUGCUCCUUCUCAAACAUUUGGACCAGGUUAGGAUUGAUCAUUGUUUUCCUUACGUUAGCCAAGCAUUCAGAUGUUUCUGUUAUUAAUAUUUGUAGAAAUUUCAAAUAUGUGCACAGAUUUACAAAAAUAGGUUUUAUUCUGAGUUUACAUAUACCUAAAUUAAUCUGGUAGCCCAGGUUAUUAUGUUAGAUGAUCUCUGUUGGAUUUAUAUUUUUAAAUCUGUUGUUAAAAUAUUUUAUAAAGCUACAGCAGUCAACACUGUAUAUCAUUGCUUAGGAAUAAACAGGUCCCUGGAGUCAACUAGGUGGCCUAGAAAUAGAUCAAGACAUUUAGGGCAAGGAUGGUAUUUCAGUUGGAUGAGAAAACAGGAUUUAUUUAAUAUGUGCUAGUAACCCUUCACAACAUAUGCAAAAGUAAGUUCCAGAUGGACUACUGACCUAAAUAAAAAAGAUAAAAAUGAGAAAUUUUACAGGAUAUUUAUGUUAACUCAGGCUUAGGAAGAUAGCAACUCCCCAUCUAUAAUAGCAAAUAUAAAUAUAAUUGAAAUAUAAAAUUAAAAAGUUAUAUGUAGGGAAAAAUAGACCAUGAACAAAAACAAAAGACAAAUGCUAGGUUGAUGUGUAAGUUAGUUCUCGGUUUGGAAAACAAAUUGCUUUAACUGUUUUAAAUAGGAAGGGCUUUUAUACAAGAAACGAGAUGCUUACUCAACUGUGGGACUGAGGGAACAAGUCAGGAGAAAUCAUUGCUGGCUCUUGAAAAUCCAGUAAAGCAGGAAUUUCAGGAAAGCUCCCACUAAUCUCCGCACACUCUCUACAGGCCAUUUCUGCCAUCAGUCAGCAUGUUAUGAUGAAAUAAAAAACCCUUCCUCAUUUCCGUGAGAUUGCCUCUCACUGGUGAAAGUUAAACCAGGACCCGUUUAAUACAGGUAUCUGGACAAUUGAGCUUCUAGUCUUUUAGCACCUAUGGAGGAGAGAUUUAGAAAAGCAAGAAUGGUGUUGACAGAGUUCCCACUGUGACACAAUGGGUUAAGGAUCCCACGUUGCCAUAGCUGUGGUGUAGGUUGCAGCUGCGGCUCGGAUUUGAUCCCUGGCCCGGGAACUUCCAUAUGCUGUGGCUGUGGCUGAAAAAGAAAAAAAAAGAAUAGCGCUGAGUAUUUCUGUUCUGCUGACAGAAAUAAGGGUUAUUUUGUUCUUUUUGCAGGAAGAUACACGUACAUGCCAUGUAGAAAUUUCACAAUCAGAAAUUUCAGUCUAGAAAUAGAUGCUUUGGAAUAAAGCCACCAAUAUGUAAAAAUAUUUGCAAAACUGGCUAACCGUUCAUCCAGUUCCUGUUGGGGCAUACAGGAAGACUGCAUUUCCUAGCCUCCCUUGCAGUUAGGUUGGGAGCUUGUGAUUGGGUUGUAGCCAGUGAAAUUUGUGCAGAAGUGCCCCAAGCCACAUCCAGUCUUUGUCAUAAAUCUUUCCUUGUCUUCCAAGCUCUCUGCCAUGUUGGCUGCUGGAAAUGAAGGAAUCUGAGGUAGUGAAACCAUAAGAUGAAUCCCUGAAUUACGAUUGGAGGCCAGCUCCUCGUGCUAGCAGCCUGAUUUUGCACCAGGCAGUGAUGUGAGCUAGAAACAAACUUACUGUGGUAAGCUGGUAAGAUUUUUGGAGUGUUUAAACUUGAGCCACACAAGAUAUUUAUAUGAAGAUAUUUAUUGUACCAUUUCCAGUGGCAAAAAAGCAAAAUAAAGGAAAGUGAAUAGCAGUCAAUAAAGAAAUGGUGAAUAAUGCCAUAUCUGUUAUAUCAUACACCUGCCAUUAUCAAUAUGUAUUGACAACAGGUAUUAUCCAUAUUGCUUUAUAAGACUAAAAAUGCAUUCAUAUAUAUUUGAAUUCCAUAUAUAGUGGAAAAUUAAGAAGUAAUGUCUACUAAGUUAUAAGCAUUGGUGAAGAGGAUCAGUUAAAAUUUUAUUAAGUCCAUUGUGCAUUAUAAAAAAUAUGUAUCAUGGUUUUAAAAAAUACUUGAUUAAAAUAUUUGCUUUUAAG
rnacentral:lncRNA from 1 species